rnacentral:rRNA from 1 species
GUACACAAAAAUGCACAUGCUGUGAGCUCGAUGAGUAGGGCGGGACACGUGGUAUCCUGUCUGAAUAUGGGGGGACCAUCCUCCAAGGCUAAAUACUCCUGACUGACCGAUAGUGAACCAGUACCGUGAGGGAAAGGCGAAAAGAACCCCGGCGAGGGGAGUGAAAAAGAACCUGAAACCGUGUACGUACAAGCAGUGGGAGCACGCUUAGGCGUGUGACUGCGUACCUUUUGUAUAAUGGGUCAGCGACUUAUAUUCUGUAGCAAGGUUAACCGAAUAGGGGAGCCGAAGGGAAACCGAGUCUUAACUGGGCGUUAAGUUGCAGGGUAUAGACCCGAAACCCGGUGAUCUAGCCAUGGGCAGGUUGAAGGUUGGGUAACACUAACUGGAGGACCGAACCGACUAAUGUUGAAAAAUUAGCGGAUGACUUGUGGCUGGGGGUGAAAGGCCAAUCAAACCGGGAGAUAGCUGGUUCUCCCCGAAAGCUAUUUAGGUAGCGCCUCGUGAAUUCAUCUCCGGGGGUAGAGCACUGUUUCGGCAAGGGGGUCAUCCCGACUUACCAACCCGAUGCAAACUGCGAAUACCGGAGAAUGUUAUCACGGGAGACACACGGCGGGUGCUAACGUCCGUCGUGAAGAGGGAAACAACCCAGACCGCCAGCUAAGGUCCCAAAGUCAUGGUUAAGUGGGAAACGAUGUGGGAAGGCCCAGACAGCCAGGAUGUUGGCUUAGAAGCAGCCAUCAUUUAAAGAAAGCGUAAUAGCUCACUGGUCGAGUCGGCCUGCGCGGAAGAUGUAACGGGGCUAAACCAUGCACCGAAGCUGCGGCAGCGACACUGUGUGUUGUUGGGUAGGGGAGCGUUCUGUAAGCCUGCGAAGGUGUGCUGUGAGGCAUGCUGGAGGUAUCAGAAGUGCGAAUGCUGACAUAAGUAACGAUAAAGCGGGUGAAAAGCCCGCUCGCCGGAAGACCAAGGGUUCCUGUCCAACGUUAAUCGGGGCAGGGUGAGUCGACCCCUAAGGCGAGGCCGAAAGGCGUAGUCGAUGGGAAACAGGUUAAUAUUCCUGUACUUGGUGUUACUGCGAAGGGGGGACGGAGAAGGCUAUGUUGGCCGGGCGA